CUGCGGCAGCGACACUGUGUGUUGUUGGGUAGGGGAGCGUUCUGUAAGCCUGCGAAGGUGGCCUGUGAGGGUUGCUGGAGGUAUCAGAAGUGCGAAUGCUGACAUAAGUAACGAUAAAGCGGGUGAAAAGCCCGCUCGCCGGAAGACCAAGGGUUCCUGUCCAACGUUAAUCGGGGCAGGGUGAGUCGACCCCUAAGGCGAGGCCGAAAGGCGUAGUCGAUGGGAAACGGGUUAAUAUUCCCGUACUUGGUGUUACUGCGAAGGGGGGACGGAGAAGGCUAUGUUGGCCGGGCGACGGUUGUCCCGGUUUAAGCGUGUAGGUGUGUGUUCCAGGUAAAUCCGGUUCACUUUAACACUGAGGCGUGACGACGAGGCACUACGGUGCUGAAGCAACAAAUGCCCUGCUUCCAGGAAAAGCCUCUAAGCAUCAGGUAACAUCAAAUCGUACCCCAAACCGACACAGGUGGUCAGGUAGAGAAUACCAAGGCGCUUGAGAGAACUCGGGUGAAGGAACUAGGCAAAAUGGUGCCGUAACUUCGGGAGAAGGCACGCUGACACGUAGGUGAAGUGAUUUACUCAUGGAGCUGAAGUCAGUCGAAGAUACCAGCUGGCUGCAACUGUUUAUUAAAAACACAGCACUGUGCAAACACGAAAGUGGACGUAUACGGUGUGACGCCUGCCCGGUGCCGGAAGGUUAAUUGAUGGGGUCAGCGCAAGCGAAGCUCCUGAUCGAAGCCCCGGUAAACGGCGGCCGUAACUAUAACGGUCCUAAGGUAGCGAAAUUCCUUGUCGGGUAAGUUCCGACCUGCACGAAUGGCGUAAUGAUGGCCAGGCUGUCUCCACCCGAGACUCAGUGAAAUUGAACUCGCUGUGAAGAUGCAGUGUACCCGCGGCAAGACGGAAAGACCCCGUGAACCUUUACUAUAGCUUGACACUGAACAUUGAGCCUUGAUGUGUAGGAUAGGUGGGAGGCUUUGAAGUGUGGACGCCAGUCUGCAUGGAGCCGACCUUGAAAUACCACCCUUUAAUGUUUGAUGUUCUAACGUGGACCCGUUACCCGGGUUGCGGACAGUGUCUGGUGGGUAGUUUGACUGGGGCGGUCUCCUCC
rnacentral:rRNA from 1 species